rnacentral:rRNA from 1 species
UACGAAGGGGGGCUAGCGUUGCUCAGAAUUACUGGGCGUAAAGGGCGCGUAGGCGGACAGUUUAGUCAGAGGUGAAAGCCCAGGGCUCAACCUUGGAAUUGCCUUUUGAUACUGGCUGUCUUGAGUUCGGGAGAGGUGAGUGGAAUGCCGAGUGUAGAGGUGAAAUUCGUAGAUAUUCGGCGGAACACCAGUGGCGAAGGCGACUCACUGGCCCGAUACUGACGCCGAGGCGCGAAAGCGUGGGGAGCAAACAGG